AACGAACGCUGGCGGCAGGCUUAACACAUGCAAGUCGAGCGCCCCGCAAGGGGAGCGGCAGACGGGUGAGUAACACGUGGGAACAUACCCUUUCCUGCGGAAUAGCUCCGGGAAACUGGAAUUAAUACCGCAUACGCCCUACGGGGGAAAGAUUUAUCGGGCAAGGAUUGGCCCGCGUUGGAUUAGCUAGUUGGUGGGGUAAAGGCCUACCAAGGCGACGAUCCAUAGCUGGUCUGAGAGGAUGAUCAGCCACAUUGGGACUGAGACACGGCCCAAACUCCUACGGGAGGCAGCAGUGGGGAAUAUUGGACAAUGGGCGCAAGCCUGAUCCUGCCAUGCCGCGUGAGUGAUGAAGGCCUUAGGGUUGUAAAGCUCUUUCACCGGAGAAGAUAAUGACGGUAUCCGGAGAAGAAGCCCCGGCUAACUUCGUGCCAGCAGCCGCCGUAA
rnacentral:rRNA from 1 species